GGCGCGGGCGGCGCGGAGGCCGCGCCGGGGGCCGCGUCGCCGCCGCCGCCGCUCGGCCUGCUCGACUACAUGCAGGAGGAGCUGAUGUACACGGACGCGGUGGACGAGUCCUCCUUCCAGGUGCUGCUGCUCAGCGAGGAGCUCGGCUAGCUGCGGCCCUCUCGCUCAUAUCAUACACAUACCUACAACAAGUUAAUCCAACAGCUAUUUACUACAUUUGUAUGUAUAUAUGUAAGGCGCGUUAGUCAAAAACAAGUUUCGUCUGUGGAUAUGCGCUCACCAUGUGGAUUUCUACAGCUUGAUUGUAUCGAAGAGAAUUUGAAUUAAAAUAGAGGAGGAUUGUCAAAGUAAAUUGUGUAGCCACAGUAAAUUUACGGCCAUCUUUCGACAGAAGAUCAAAAAUGUUAGAACGUCACUUGGUUUUGAUCCUUAUUCUUUCACUGAUAUGUGUUAAUUUGUUAAAUAUUGAAACUAACGACAUCUACUCGAUAGUAGGCCAAAGAUAUGGUGCAAUCUUUUCGAGCGAUGACGCCAUAACCUUUGGCUUCUGUUGAGGAGAUGGCGUUAAUUUCAGUGGAAGAAUAAGAAUCAAAGUCAAAUGGCGUUCUAACAGUUUUAAUCUUCUGUCGAAAGAUGGCAGUCAAUUUAUUGUGGCUAUAUACUUUACGAUGACAGUAACUCUCUAUACACUUUAUUCUCUUUGAUGUAUGUACUAGGUGUUUGGCGAAGACGCACGAUACAACGCAGCAAAGUUUCACAUGCAAGUUUUAAUACACUUGUUGCAGGUCUUAAAAACAAUAAGAUUAGUAAUUUACCCGUCGUUUUAAAUAAAAUACGGGAUAUUUGAAAAUAAAUAUUGAAAACUGUACUCGGUACGAGUGGCCUACAAUUACGUAGAUAUUUAUAUGAAAGAGCUAAGUUGUCGAGGCCGAGCCUCGCACUUCUGAUGAUAUUGUUGACUAAAAUUAGCUAAAUUUAUAAAAGCGCGGUGAAAUUGCGCGAAUACGAUACGAUGAUCUUUGGGGUGCAAUAUUUAAAUUAAUCUUUACAAUAACCAGUCAAUUGUAUGCAUAAGUGUAGGUACGCGUGUAAAUAGUAUGUUCUAGCAUUUAUUGAAUAAUCUCCUGAUGUCUGUGUAUUCAAUAUUAAAUACCAGUUAACAAUUUUGUAGUACGAAAUAAGGACAAGAAAUGUUGUAUAUUGUUUUAAGUACUCACAUACAGCGUCGGAUUGAAAUCAAAUUAAUGAUAAUGUUAAUAUUUAAGAAAUAAACAAAUAUUUUUAGUUAAAUUUUAUGUUUUGUGUGACAGGAUAUUAGGCAAGGUGUUUUAUUACAAGUCAGUUUUCGAUUUUGCGCAUUAUUUAAUAUCGAGUUUUUUUCUAUUAUAAUUUGAGCUGGAAGACGGUUCGUUAUACAAACAAGAUACAAUAAUAGUUGAAGUGUAAACCGGCCACACCGGACAAUAGGUCGCUCGUCAUUGGUCAGGUCAAGUAAUGCCAUCGCAUUUAUGUUGGUUUCCACAAAUUGUAACUUGUACUUUUAUAAAAUGGGGCCCUGGGUGGCGUUUUAUAUAAUGUGGUUAGAAAUGGAGGCAAACAGCGAUCACAGGUUACCUAGUAGUUUUGAAAACUCGACCCAGCGGCAGAGUGUCUGUCUGCAGCUAUACCUAUACUAUACAGGCACCCACAUAAUUAUGACAUCACUCUAUCACAAACUGUGUGUAGUGUUGCCACGGUACCUCAGUGCAGAUUUAACAUAGACGAGCUGUCAACAUUAAAAUGCCUAUACACGAUUUUAUAUCAUAACUACCCCUAGUUAAUAAGGAUGUGUUCAAAAUCGAAUUGAUAUUUAAAAUGUGAAAUGUUAGUCGAGAAAAGUGUCACUCAACAGGGUAAAGUCAAGAUUAAAGCAUCUAUCUCUUUCUCUUUCAGUAUAACUGCGACAAAAGGAGGCGAUUUUAUUGUAUUGUGUAGAAAGUUCUAUAAAUGGAAAUGAAAUGAUCUCGAGAAAUGCCUUUUAAGUAUAGGUAGUAUAGGACCGCUGUAGGAUAGUGAGUGUAGUCGAUGGACCUUAUGAGUCACACGCACGAACCUCGCCGCCGCCAUACAAUCGAAGAUUUACUUAGGGUCAGUUGUCCUACGUUGAAACAAGCGGACACAGAGAAACUAUAUGCGAUAUCUCGGAAACUAGGUGUUAUACCAGCUCGUACCGUCUGUCAAGCAAGGGCCCCAAUACGCGAGCGCGCCUCGGAGAAGGAGCACGCAGCGAUUUUGGCAAGUGUUAUUUAUAUGUACUUCAUAAUUUCAUAGAAGUUUGACGUUUAAAAUGACACUUGCACUGCGUAGGCUAUCAAAAUCGCUGCAGACUUUUCUUGGUCUAACUCUACAUACUUUCAUACGUAUUUAGUCGUUUUUGAUAGCAAUGGUAGUAAAAACAUCUCAUA